CCCCAGGGCCCUGCUGCUGCCUUACCUUGCUGGGGUGACUGCUUGAUUAAAGAUCCCAAGACUGGACCAGGCCCUGGUGCCCCCAGACCUGCAGCUAUGGCCCAACAAGGCAGGUGUUUGAGAAGGCCCUGCACAGGGUCCCAGGACUGCACUGGGGGCCUCAUCGGCACCCUGCUGGACUGUGGUGGUGUGGGGGGAGGGCGGGCUAGCUUGGUGGUACCCUUCCUCUACCCCAGUGGGGGCUGGUGGGCCCUGAGGUGGAGGCAUUUCCUUGGGCCCUGCUGAGGAUGGUGGUAGUGGGUGAGCCCCUGGUAGGGGGACAGGUGUGGGUUCGACUCCUCCAUCCCACAUAGGCUCCUGUGCCUCUCCCCACCUGUUGGCCAAUGGAGCUCAAGAACAAGCUGUUGCUGCCAGAUAAAAGCAGCAAAGCCUGCUCCACUGCCCACCCCAGGCCCCCUUCCCUUCCUCCACCAGGCUGAGUGGAAAACCCUGAAGCUAUGGGACAGGCUCCUGGUGCCUGUGCCAACAUAGGAGGGCGCUGGCUAUGGCAGGAAGACAGUGUGCCUGCCCUGCAUCCCGUCCCUGAGUGCAGACACCUUGGGAAUGGGGGUCCUGGUGGUCCUCUGACAACGAGAGACCUGCAGGGCCAGGGUGCCCACCCCGGUCUCUGGUCCUGCGGAGUUGGGCAGGCAUGGGGCUAGCUGCAAGCGUCCGCCUUCCCCCAGGAGGCCACUGCAGCCCAGCCCUUCUGUGCCUCACUGCACCCCCACCCACCGUACUACCCUGGGACAGAGGAAACACAUGGGAGGCCACCGCAUAGAGCCUGUCUGUUUAUAGAUCUCUGCCUGUCUUGUCCGUCCAUCCACCUGUGUGUAUAUAUCUGUAUAUCUCUAUGGAACAGGGAAUGGGACAGUUGUGUAAAAAUCCAAAAUACAAUUCUGAUUAUGAACAA